GAAGUACCUAGAAGACACAGAGAGGUGGGUGCUGAGGGCAAGUCAAACCCUACACACCCCCUCAAUACCCUUUCCAACCAGAUAAAGCCCAGCCAUGGACAUCGUGGGUGAGUGAGAUGAGUUGUGACGUGUUCGUAAAGCUAUGAAUACAACUAUUAGUAAAAUAAUGCUUGCUAACUCUGAGCACUUAACUUCUGCCAACCUCUGUGUUAGCACUUGAGAAGCAUUGCCUCAUUUACUACAGCCCUUGAGGGAAGUACCAGCAGGGGCCCAUUUUACAGAUGAGGAGCCUGUGGCUUCACGCCGGUUCACGCCGGUUCACGCCUCCGUUAAGGAACGUGCAUAGCUCAUCUAGCUUGGAAGUGGCAGGCACGGGGAUUCAGGUCCAGCUCUGCCUGACUCCAGAGCUGAACUCAGUCCCUUCUCGGAGGGGCGGCGGGGCGAGUGCUCCUGUUCGUUCGGUUCCCACCUCACACAGUUCCGUCCGGAGCACUUACUCCGUUUCCUCCAGCCCUCCCCGGGGAACCGCCUCCUCUGACCACCGCAGGCUUCCACCGGGCUGACCAUGGCAGCCGGAAUCAUCAGCACUCAGAGGGAGCUCGGAGUUCAGGGGUAGCCGUUUUCACGUUUGUAUGGUGCCUAGAACUGCGUCUGGCGCAUAUGACGAGACUGAGGCAAAGAAAGGUGGACCAACUCAGCCGAGGCCAUGCAGCUCCCGAGCACCGUGGCAGGGAUUCAAACCGGCAAAGGUGUGGUCUGGCGGGGUCAGGGUUCAACAGCGCUGCCUCAAAGGGAAGAAAGUGGGCCCAGCAGUGAUGAGCGACUGGCCUGAGUGCCAGCUCGCGACCUGUCCCCUCCCCUCUGCUGAGCAGCUUGCCUUCUCGCACAACGGGGUGGGGCCAGGGCACUCACCUUGCAGGUCAGAGGUCAGGAGAGGGAGGGGGUCCUGGGGAAAAGCAGCCUGGGUAUGGGGCAGUGAGAGCAACAGCAGCAGGAGCAGCAAGGGCAUGAAGUGGGGGGCACGGGGCAUCCUGUGCGGGGCAGCUCAGGCCCCUGGGGGUGCCCCCUCACCCAUAUGCUGGCCCUGAAAGGAGACAGAGAAAAGUGGGGGAUGGGGCCAAAUCCUUUCACCCUUAACACCGGCAGGCUGCUCCCCUUGUCUGUCCCCAGAAGACCCUGUGGGCUGGGGGAAGCAACCCCUUCUCUGGCACUGCCUCGGUCCCAGCCAGCUGCCACUGUCACUCAGGGCCUUUCUCUCUCCAACUGGCCCAAACUGGCUGGUGCGAGGCCUGCAGGCGUGACCCCAGGUAAGGACAGGACACACCCGCUCCCCUUCCAAGUUUUCUCACUGGGCCUCUUCGCUCCGGACCGGGCCUGGGAUAUUCAGUAGCUGACACCUCCUGGCCCCCCUCUUGCUAACCCCUUCUCAGUUAUAAUUAGAUGCUGAAGCCUUAAAAUUAUAAAUAGUGACUCCUUGGCACUGGGAGGAGGAAGAGGGCACCGUGUCUGCCUCCCCCUCCCUCACAGACCCCCGAGGCACCCUGGGAGCCAUGCAGGCGCUGUGCCCAGGCAGAGGCAGCUGCGAGGAAGCCCUCACCCUCUCUAAGGGUGCGGAAGAACAGAGUGGGGGGGAAGCCUAGGGGUCAUUGUCCUGGUCUGAGUUCAUGCUUCAAGGGAUCUUCCCAUUGCUAGGGAGAAGCUGGAUAGGGAGGGGGGGGGCUGCCUUAGCCAAAAAUGAAUGUGCAUCAAAGCCAGAUCAGAGGCUAAAUUUAGCUCUGGCUGCAGCUGUCUGCCCGACCACUGCGCCCCCUCUCAGCCUCUCUAGCCCCUGUCCCCUCCCUGGCUCCGAAGAACCAGUGCAUGUACUUGACGAAGGAGCAGAAGCCCCUGUGAGCAGCCAGGGAUGGAACUGGCUAUACUGGCAAGCAACGGUAGCCCAAAGUCCAGGAAAAGAUGGAUAUGGUAGAAGGGACGUGAGACAGCCUUCCUGCCCACCAAUCAGCACCGCCACCCACUCCCCGCUGACCCUGGGUGGAACCCCAGUGGGAGGUGUACACCAGCUUCCUGCACUCCUUCCCCUCAGACUGACGUGAGGGGCUGAAUAGCUCCUGAGAUCAGGACGGGAAGGGGACAUCGAGAGGAUCCAGUUCUCCGCGGGUCUCAGAGCCUUAGUUUCCCUGCUGGGGAGUCAAGGGACCAGGUUUUCCACCCUCUGUACGGUGCGCGCCUCAAAUAAACGCCUUUCGCGCUCCCCAACCCAGAGGACGCGACUCGGAGAAACCCGAUGGGAAGAAGCGCCCGGACCCUGCGCCCAACUGUGCAUUGACCGGGUUCGGCCACGGUCCCCUCCUCCCUCCGUGCACCCCAACUCCGCUGACCCUCUCCGUCAGUCAGGCACACAGCGCGCUGGCACCCUCCCGGGUCCCUCUCGCACUUCGGAUGGUUGUCCCCAGCCUGCGGAGCCCCCGGUCCUCCUCGCCUCCCUGCAACCCCAUCCCUGCUCCGGGGUACUUGCUC